UGUGUGGGGAGUGUUGUCUGGCUCGAGAAGCUGCGUAGUAGAAUAAUUACGGACGGAUUCUCGGACCAGGCUUCAUUCCCCACACA
rnacentral:pre_miRNA from 1 species